CCCAGUGUUCAGACUACCUGUUCAUCAUGCUGCAGCUGAACAGUAGUCCGCACAUUGGUUA
rnacentral:pre_miRNA from 1 species